AGUGAACGCUGGCGGUAGGCCUAACACAUGCAAGUCGAACGGCAGCACAGUAAGAGCUUGCUCUUACGGGUGGCGGGUGGCGGACGGGUGAGGAAUACAUCGGAAUCUACUUUUUCGUGGGGGAUAACGUAGGGAAACUUACGCUAAUACCGCAUACGACCUACGGGUGAAAGCAGGGGAUCUUCGGACCUUGCGCGAUUGAAUGAGCCGAUGUCGGAUUAGCUAGUUGGCGGGGUAAAGGCCCACCAAGGCGACGAUCCGUAGCUGGUCUGAGAGGAUGAUCAGCCGCACUGGAACUGAGACACGGUCCAGACUCCUACGGGAGGCAGCAGUGGGGAAUAUUGGACAAUGGGCGCAAGCCUGAUCCAGCCAUACCGCGUGGGUGAAGAAGGCCUUCGGGUUGUAAAGCCCUUUUGUUGGGAAAGAAAAGCAGCAGGUUAAUACCCCGCUGUCCUGACGGUACCCAAAGAAUAAGCCCCGGCUAACUUCGUG
rnacentral:rRNA from 1 species